GAGCACGUAGGUGGGUUUGUAAGUCAGGUGUGAAAGCCUUCUGUUCAAAGGAAGAACGGCAUCUGAAACUGCAGAUCUUGAGUUUAGGAGGGGAGAGUGGAACUUCUGGUGGAGCGGUGAAAUGCGUAGAUAUCAGAAGGAACGUCGGCGGCGAAAGCGACUCUCUGGCCUAAUACUGACACUGAGGUGCGAAAGUUAGGGGAGCAAACGGGAUUAGAUACCCCGGUAGUCCUAACCGUAAACGAUGGGCACUAAGUAGAGGGAAUUACCAAUGUUCUCUCUGCCGUAGCUAACGCAUUAAGUGCCCCGCCUGGGGAGUACGGCCGCAAGGCUAAAACUCAAAAGAAUUGACGGGGGCUCGCACAAGCGGUGGAGCAUGUGGCUUAAUUCGAUGCAACGCGAAAAACCUUACCGGGGUUUGACAUGAUAGAAGUAGGAGCCUGAAAGGGUAACCAACGGUAUCCAGUCCGUAACUAUUACAGGUGUUGCAUGGCUGUCGUCAGCUCGUGUCGUGAGACGUUGGGUUAAGUCCCCUAACGAGCGAAACCCUUGUUUUUAGUUACCAUCGGGUAGUGCCGGGUACUCUAAAAAGACUGCCGUCGUCAAGACGGAGGAAGGUGGGGAUAACGUCAAGUCAUCAUGGCCCUUAUACCCCGGGCUGCACACGUGCUACAAUGGUCGGUACAAAAGGAAGCAAGACCGAGAGGUGAAGCGAAUCC
rnacentral:rRNA from 1 species